rnacentral:snRNA from 1 species
UACUUUUUCGUUAGUACAUUUUU